rnacentral:rRNA from 1 species
UCGAACGAAGCGGCUGCAGGGAUUCCCUUCGGGGAGGAACAGUAGCUGUCUGAGUGGCGGACGGGUGAGUAACGCGUGGGCAACCUGCCCCAUACCGGGGGAUAACAGCCGGAAACGGCUGCUAAUACCGCAUACGCCCAGGAGGCUGCAUAGCUUCCUGGGGAAAACUCCGGUGGUAUGGGAUGGGCCCGCGUCUGAUUAGCUCGUUGGCGGGGUAACGGCCCACCAAGGCGACGAUCAGUAGCCGGCCUGAGAGGGCGGCCGGCCACAUUGGGACUGAGACACGGCCCAGACUCCUGCGGGAGGCAGCAGUGGGGAAUAUUGCACAAUGGGGGAAACCCUGAUGCAGCGACGCCGCGUGAGCGAUGAAGUAUCUCGGUAUGUAAAGCUCUAUCAGCAGGGAAGAAAGUGACAGUACCUGACUAAGAAGCCCCGGCUAACUACGUGCCAGCAGCCGCGGUAAUACGUAGGGGGCAAGCGUUAUCCGGAUUCACUGGGCGUAAAGGGAGCGCAGGCGGCACGGCAAGUCUGGUGUGAAAACCCGGGGCUCAACCCCGGGACUGCAUUGGAAACUGCCGGGCUGGAGUGUCGGAGGGGUAAGCGGAAUUCCUAGUGUAGCGGUGAAAUGCGUAGAUAUUAGGAGGAACACCAGUGGCGAAGGCGGCUUACUGGACGAUGACUGACGCUGAGGCUCGAAAGCGUGGGGAGCAAACAGGAUUAGAUACCCUGGUAGUC